rnacentral:tRNA from 1 species
GAGCCAUUAGAUCAAUGGUAGAUCACCACGGUGCGAACGUGGAGAUGGAUGUUCAAGUCAUCCAUGGCUCAC